rnacentral:rRNA from 1 species
UACGUAGGGUGCAAGCGUUGUCCGGAAUUAUUGGGCGUAAAGAGCUCGUAGGCGGUCUGUCGCGUCUGCUGUGAAAAUCCAGGGCUCAACCCUGGACCUGCAGUGGGUACGGGCAGACUAGAGUGUGGUAGGGGAGACUGGAAUUCCUGGUGUAGCGGUGAAAUGCGCAGAUAUCAGGAGGAACACCGAUGGCGAAGGCAGGUCUCUGGGCCAUUACUGACGCUGAGAAGCGAAAGCAUGGGGGAGCGAACAGG